UUCUCUUCUUGUUUUGUUGUGUAAAUAUGAUGUAGCUUGUCCCUAGAAAUUGUGUGUUGAAUAGAAAAAAGAAAAAAAGACAAGAUGAAAAAAAAAGAGAAAAAAAAAUACAGAAAAAUGAGAAAAAAAAAAAUUGUGUGAAAGAUGGAGUCAAGAAGAGGAUUGAAUUAUAGGUUUUGGGUGUGAGUAUAUUGUGUUUACACUUGUUCCCCAUUGCUCCUCUAUUUCCUUUGGUUUGUAGCUUCUCACCCAUAUUUAUCCUCCCUUUUCCUUGACCGCAUUGCAUCCAUAAAAGACCUUUUGAUUCGAACAUGCAUAUGUUUUGAGUGUUGAUAUUAGAGGCUUGCCAAGACUAUUUGUUCCUUGCUUUCUUGAGUGCAUGGAGUUGAAUUUCUUGACCCUAAACACUUGAGAGAAACACUUAU
rnacentral:lncRNA from 1 species